CAGACUGCCAGUCACGGGAAGAGCAGAAAUUAAAAAUCUAUGAAGUCCAACUAAAUUUAAGUCAAAUGACUACUGCUGAUCACCUUUGCCUUUCUGUCUAUACUGCUUGAUACCUUCUGAUUCUAUUUAGAUUGGCUAUCCUGAGAGAUAUCAUUGUUAACCAAACAACUCUCUCUAGCCAUAACUAAGCUGUCAUUUUGCAAAUGACCUUGAGAAAUGGAAGCAGAGAGGAUUACUUGAUUCACCUGCAACUCUAUGCCAAGCCACAACAGCUGAAUGAUUCAACUGGAAAGGGAGAGAUGGUUUAAAGUCAUGAUUAAUGCUACCAUGUCCCUGGCUGCCUUACUUCCUCAGCUCAUCACUGGCCUCAAAGAUUAACUUCUUUUAAUUAGUUCAGGAAUUUAUUGAAGAGUAACUGAAGAGAACAUUUGGUAAUGGCAUUCAAGGUAGAACAAGAAAUGGGAACUUUGGGCUCUCAGACUUCCUGGAGCAAGAACCCUGAAGGGGAGUGAGAAGGUGAAGAAAUGAAGACAAGAUGCAGAAGGCUGGGAUCAGCUGAAGCUCUCUUGGUGGAGAAAAGAACUGCUGAACAAGUGCAGCGCAUUUAUUCAUACACUGGGCAGGUUAACGUCAGGUUAAACCCCUUUGCCUAACAACUAGCUCACCUCUCACGCCCUGUGUGAAUGAUCUCCAGCUCAGCCACUCCUGACAGGGACCCUAAUAUAAGCUAUGAACUU